AUGCAACACACUUGACAAUGUUAAGAUGCAGAUUCUAUUUCAUUGUUCUAGAGUGGAGACUAAGAUUCUGCAUUUCUAACAUACUCCCAGGUGAAGUGGAU
rnacentral:pre_miRNA from 1 species